rnacentral:ncRNA from 1 species
AGACGACAAUACUAAACCAUCCGCGAGGGUGGGGCGGAAAGCCCAGAGGGUCUCACCGAGAUAGCCGGGUUGCCGAA